GACGAACGCUGGCGGCGUGCUUAACACAUGCAAGUCGAACGAGGCCCAAGCGUCAGCAAUGACGUGGAAGGCCUAGUGGCGAACGGGUGAGUAACACGUGAGGAACCUACCCCGGACUCAGGGAUAACAGACGGAAACAUCUGCUAAUACCUGAUGCCGUCGGAGCAUCACAUGGUGCACUGACGAAAGAAUCUCGGUUCGGGAGGGCCUCGCGGCCUAUCAGCUAGUUGGUGGGGUAACGGCCUACCAAGGCAUCGACGGGUAGCUGGUCUGAGAGGAUGAUCAGCCACACUGGGACUGAGACACGGCCCAGACUCCUACGGGAGGCAGCAGUGGGGAAUCUUGCGCAAUGGGCGAAAGCCUGACGCAGCAACGCCGCGUGCGGGAAGAAGGCCUUAGGGUUGUAAACCGCUUUCAGUAGGAACGAAAAUGACGGUACCUGCAGAAGAAGGUGCGGCCAACUACGUGCCAGCAGCCGCGGUGACACGUAGGCACCAAGCGUUGUCCGGAUUUAUUGGGCGUAAAGAGCUCGUAGGCGGUUCAGUAAGUCGGGUGUGAAAACUCUGGGCUUAACCCAGAGCCGCCACUCGAUACUGCUGUGACUUGAGUUCGGUAGGGGAGCAGGGAAUUCCUAGUGUAGCGGUGAAAUGCGCAGAUAUUAGGAGGAACACCGGUGGCGAAGGCGCUGCUCUGGGCCGAUACUGACGCUGAGGAGCGAAAGCGUGGGUAGCAAACAGGAUUAGAUACCCUGGUAGUCCACGCCGUAAACGUUGGGCACUAGGUGUGGGUUCCAACCAACGGAAUCCGCGCCGUCGCUAACGCAUUAAGUGCCCCGCCUGGGGAGUACGGCGGCAACGCUA
rnacentral:rRNA from 1 species